rnacentral:rRNA from 1 species
GAUGAACGCUGGCGGCGUGCCUACUAUAUGCAAGUCGAGCGAACGGACGAGAAGCUUGCUUCUCUGAUGUUAGCGGCGGACGGGUGAGUAACACGUGGAUAACCUACCUAUAAGACUGGGAUAACUUCGGGAAACCGGAGCUAAUACCGGAUGAUAUUUUGAACCGCAUGGUUCAAAAGUGAAAGACGGUCUUGCUGUCACUUAUAGAUGGAUCCGCGCUGCAUUAGCUAGUUGGUAAGGUAACGGCUUACCAAGGCAACGAUGCAUAGCCGACCUGAGAGGGUGAUCGGCCACACUGGAACUGAGACACGGUCCAGACUCCUACGGGAGGCAGCAGUAGGGAAUCUUCCGCAAUGGGCGAAAGCCUGACGGAGCAACGCCGCGUGAGUGAUGAAGGUCUUCGGAUCGUAAAACUCUGUUAUUAGGGAAGAACAUAUGUGUAAGUAACUGUGCACAUCUUGACGGUACCUAAUCAGAAAGCCACGGCUAACUACGUGCCAGCAGCCGCGGUAAUACGUAGGUGGCAAGCGUUAUCCGGAAUUAUUGGGCGUAAAGCGCGCGUAGGCGGUUUUUUAAGUCUGAUGUGAAAGCCCACGGCUCAACCGUGGAGGGUCAUUGGAAACUGGAAAACUUGAGUGCAGAAGAGGAAAGUGGAAUUCCAUGUGUAGCGGUGAAAUGCGCAGAGAUAUGGAGGAACACCAGUGGCGAAGGCGACUUUCUGGUCUGUAACUGACGCUGAUGUGCGAAAGCGUGGGGAUCAAACAGGAUUAGAUACCCUGGUAGUCCACGCCGUAAACGAUGAGUGCUAAGUGUUAGGGGGUUUCCGCCCCUUAGUGCUGCAGCUAACGCAUUAAGCACUCCGCCUGGGGAGUACGACCGCAAGGGUG